GGGUUGUGAGGUUAAGCGACUAAGCGUACACGGUGGAUGCCCUGGCAGUCAGAGGCGAUGAAGGACGUGCUAAUCUGCGAUAAGCGUCGGUAAGGUGAUAUGAACCGUUAUAACCGGCGAUUUCCGAAUGGGGAAACCCAGUGUGUUUCGACACACUAUCAUUAACUGAAUCCAUAGGUUAAUGAGGCGAACCGGGGGAACUGAAACAUCUAAGUACCCCGAGGAAAAGAAAUCAACCGAGAUUCCCCCAGUAGCGGCGAGCGAACGGGGAGCAGCCCAGAGCCUGAAUCAGUGUGUGUGUUAGUGGAAGCGUCUGGAAAGGCGCGCGAUACAGGGUGACAGCCCCGUACACAAAAAUGCACAUGCUGUGAGCUCGAUGAGUAGGGCGGGACACGUGGUAUCCUGUCUGAAUAUGGGGGGACCAUCCUCCAAGGCUAAAUACUCCUGACUGACCGAUAGUGAACCAGUACCGUGAGGGAAAGGCGAAAAGAACCCCGGCGAGGGGAGUGAAAAAGAACCUGAAACCGUGUACGUACAAGCAGUGGGAGCACGCUUAGGCGUGUGACUGCGUACCUUUUGUAUAAUGGGUCAGCGACUUAUAUUCUGUAGCAAGGUUAACCGAAUAGGGGAGCCGAAGGGAAACCGAGUCUUAACUGGGCGUUAAGUUGCAGGGUAUAGACCCGAAACCCGGUGAUCUAGCCAUGGGCAGGUUGAAGGUUGGGUAACACUAACUGGAGGACCGAACCGACUAAUGUUGAAAAAUUAGCGGAUGACUUGUGGCUGGGGGUGAAAGGCCAAUCAAACCGGGAGAUAGCUGGUUCUCCCCGAAAGCUAUUUAGGUAGCGCCUCGUGAAUUCAUCUCCGGGGGUAGAGCACUGUUUCGGCAAGGGGGUCAUCCCGACUUACCAACCCGAUGCAAACUGCGAAUACCGGAGAAUGUUAUCACGGGAGACACACGGCGGGUGCUAACGUCCGUCGUGAAGAGGGAAACAACCCAGACCGCCAGCUAAGGUCCCAAAGUCAUGGUUAAGUGGGAAACGAUGUGGGAAGGCCCAGACAGCCAGGAUGUUGGCUUAGAAGCAGCCAUCAUUUAAAGAAAGCGUAAUAGCUCACUGGUCGAGUCGGCCUGCGCGGAAGAUGUAACGGGGCUAAACCAUGCACCGAAGCUGCGGCAGCGACGCUUAUGCGUUGUUGGGUAGGGGAGCGUUCUGUAAGCCUGCGAAGGUGUGCUGUGAGGCAUGCUGGAGGUAUCAGAAGUGCGAAUGCUGACAUAAGUAACGAUAAAGCGGGUGAAAAGCCCGCUCGCCGGAAGACCAAGGGUUCCUGUCCAACGUUAAUCGGGGCAGGGUGAGUCGACCCCUAAGGCGAGGCCGAAAGGCGUAGUCGAUGGGAAACAGGUUAAUAUUCCUGUACUUGGUGUUACUGCGAAGGGGGGACGGAGAAGGCUAUGUUGGCCGGGCGACGGUUGUCCCGGUUUAAGCGUGUAGGCUGGUUUUCCAGGCAAAUCCGGAAAAUCAAGGCUGAGGCGUGAUGACGAGGCACUACGGUGCUGAAGCAACAAAUGCCCUGCUUCCAGGAAAAGCCUCUAAGCAUCAGGUAACAUCAAAUCGUACCCCAAACCGACACAGGUGGUCAGGUAGAGAAUACCAAGGCGCUUGAGAGAACUCGGGUGAAGGAACUAGGCAAAAUGGUGCCGUAACUUCGGGAGAAGGCACGCUGAUAUGUAGGUGAAGUCCCUUGCGGAUGGAGCUGAAAUCAGUCGAAGAUACCAGCUGGCUGCAACUGUUUAUUAAAAACACAGCACUGUGCAAACACGAAAGUGGACGUAUACGGUGUGACGCCUGCCCGGUGCCGGAAGGUUAAUUGAUGGGGUUAGCGGUAACGCGAAGCUCUUGAUCGAAGCCCCGGUAAACGGCGGCCGUAACUAUAACGGUCCUAAGGUAGCGAAAUUCCUUGUCGGGUAAGUUCCGACCUGCACGAAUGGCGUAAUGAUGGCCAGGCUGUCUCCACCCGAGACUCAGUGAAAUUGAACUCGCUGUGAAGAUGCAGUGUACCCGCGGCAAGACGGAAAGACCCCGUGAACCUUUACUAUAGCUUGACACUGAACAUUGAGCCUUGAUGUGUAGGAUAGGUGGGAGGCUUUGAAGUGUGGACGCCAGUCUGCAUGGAGCCGACCUUGAAAUACCACCCUUUAAUGUUUGAUGUUCUAACGUUGACCCGUAAUCCGGGUUGCGGACAGUGUCUGGUGGGUAGUUUGACUGGGGCGGUCUCCUCCUAAAGAGUAACGGAGGAGCACGAAGGUUGGCUAAUCCUGGUCGGACAUCAGGAGGUUAGUGCAAUGGCAUAAGCCAGCUUGACUGCGAGCGUGACGGCGCGAGCAGGUGCGAAAGCAGGUCAUAGUGAUCCGGUGGUUCUGAAUGGAAGGGCCAUCGCUCAACGGAUAAAAGGUACUCCGGGGAUAACAGGCUGAUACCGCCCAAGAGUUCAUAUCGACGGCGGUGUUUGGCACCUCGAUGUCGGCUCAUCACAUCCUGGGGCUGAAGUAGGUCCCAAGGGUAUGGCUGUUCGCCAUUUAAAGUGGUACGCGAGCUGGGUUUAGAACGUCGUGAGACAGUUCGGUCCCUAUCUGCCGUGGGCGCUGGAGAACUGAGGGGGGCUGCUCCUAGUACGAGAGGACCGGAGUGGACGCAUCACUGGUGUUCGGGUUGUCAUGCCAAUGGCACUGCCCGGUAGCUAAAUGCGGAAGAGAUAAGUGCUGAAAGCAUCUAAGCACGAAACUUGCCCCGAGAUGAGUUCUCCCUGACCCUUUAAGGGUCCUGAAGGAACGUUGAAGACGACGACGUUGAUAGGCCGGGUGUGUAAGCGCAGCGAUGCGUUGAGCUAACCGGUACUAAUGAACCGUGAGGCUUAACCUUACAACGCCGAAG
rnacentral:rRNA from 1 species